UUGUAACUUACUACGACAAUUGUGACCGAGAGAAGAUAAGCUUGAUUGAGAUAUAGAACUUGAGCAAGGUUCUCGAUUAUCAAAAAAUUGAGCAGUUGUAUUAUUGAGUCCAUGGGCAAUCAAUGGAAGAGGGACUAUGGAUACAAUAAUGAUAUGGAUGUGUUGAAAAUGGAGGAUGCAAGCAACGUGAGCAAUGUAGCAAUCUACAUGGAGCAUGGUGGAGUUGAAAUUGAUUUGGAUCUAGUGGAGGCACCUCCUCCACUUCCAUCCACCCUGUAAGAUGAAGAAGCAGCAGCUGCUCAUCAUGUCCCAUAGGAUAGGGUUCGAGAGAAUUCUGGGGAGAAUGAGAUCUUAGUAAAUGUCAAUAUAGGAGAGAAAGGACAUGAGGUAACACAUGAAUGGGGGAGAAGGCCUCAUAGGAGUCCUCUAGAAGAAGAAGUGAAAGAAGAUAGUGGCAGUGGCAGUGAUGGCAACUUAUCCUUGAGUGACUUUUAAGUGAUGAUGAGGAAGAUGACCUCUUCGAGUAUUAUGUUGAUGACUCUAUUGUUGAGACGAGGUCCACAAGGAGUAGGAAGUACAAAUUGGAGAAGAAAUUGGGGAAGAAAUUAGAGAAGCAAAUGAGUUGAUUGUUGGGAAUUUUGAGUUACCUAAUAUUGAUGAUGUUAGAAGCUUGGGUAGCUCCCCAAAAAGAGAAGCUUCACAACAUUCUAGGUUUCUGGAGUUCAAUAAGGAAACCUAUUUUAGCAGGCCUACAGAGCUGAAGCUUGGCAUGCUUUUUGCCUCAAUGCAUGCAUUUACGAUGGCAUUGAGGCAGCACUCUAUACAAUAGUGUUUUGACUAUAUUUACAAGUACAAUGAGAUGGCAGAGUCACCAUGGUGUAUGAGAACUGUGGGUGGAGGAUUCAUGUCUCACCCUUCCAAAAGGUAGAGAUAUAUCAAAUUAAAAAAUUUGAGCCUACUCAUACAUGUAGCAGACAUUUUGAGUAUGAACUCCAGAUGGCUAUCUCAGAACUACAUGGAGGAUAUCAAGUUUGAUACCAAUGGGAGUAUUCAAGAUUUUAUGGCACAAGUGAAGAGGGAAAUGUAAUUACAAAUUUCUAAGGUCCAAGCAUACAAGGCUAAGGAAAAGGCACUUAUAGCCAUUCAUGGGUCACACAAAGAGCAGUAUGGGAAGCUAUAGGGGUGUUGUGAUAUCAUCAGGAAGACAAACCUAGGUAACAUGACACUUAUAGGAACCUUGCCUAGGGAAGGAGAGUAACCCAUCUCUUCCAAAGACAGUAUGAAUGUAGAUCCAUUAUGAGCUUGGAUGGGUGCCAUUUGAAGGGUGCCAUGGAGGGCAACUGCUGGCAGUUAUUAGGAGCGAUGGCAAUGAUGACAUACGGGGAUGGUGGAGGAAAGGAUGGAAUUUCAUAUCUGAUAGGAAGAGGAGGCUUAGUUAUUCAUUUUUCAUCAUAUUAGCUUUAAAGUACUAAUUUUGUUGGUUUGUUGUGUAAUAUUUUUUUGCAGGGGUUAGUGGAGACCUUUAACUCCAUUAUGCCUAAAUGCUGAUCAUAGAUUUGGGUGAGAUAUUUACAUGCCAAUUUUUGGAAGCUGUGGAAGGGAAAAAACUUUAAAGAUGCACUAUAUGCAGCGGAAAGGGUUUGAAUUGUCCUUGAGUUUCAAGUUAAAAUGAAAGCUGUGGCUUAUUUGGACUCCAAAGUAGCUAAUGUUUACUUAGCACGGUUUAUUUUUGUGGUGUAGACAUGCAUUCAGCACUAGACUAAGGUGUAAGGCUUAUAUAUUGUAUCCCUUAGCAUAUUGGCCUCACUUGUUGUGUAAUCUUUUUAUGUGUGAUAUGAUUUUGAACAAUAUAUAUGAAUGUGUCAAUAGUCAUAUUAUGAAAGCUAGGGACAAGCCUGGUAUAACUUUAUUGGAGAUAAUAAAAAUGCAUCUUAUGCAAUACUUCCAGUCUAGGAGAUGGGCUUUGCAGAGAUAUAGCAGUCCAAUAUGUCCUAAAGUCCAGAAGAAGGUAGUGUUAGCUAAGCCACAUACCAUGGAUUGCCAUGUUAGGUGGGGUGGUGGAGGCAGUUUUGAGGUUGAUCAUCCAGAUGGCACUUCUGUAGUUGACUUAGAGAGGAGAAUCUGUGGAUGUUGAAAGUUUGUUCUCAUUAGAAUCCUCUAUUGCCAUGUAGCUGCAGCUAUCAUACUUUCAAAGGAGGAGGUAGAGCAUUUUGUAGACCAUGGUACUCUAAGGAUAUGUUCUUUAAAGUCUAUGAGCUAGUUAUUAAGCCUGGUAUUCAGUUUUAGAAGUCCUCACAACUUGAUUCGGUAGCUACAGCCCCACUGAGGCGGCCAACUGGUAAGCCAAGGAAGUGCAAAAGAAGGGAGGAUGAUGAAGUGCAGGACCUAUAUAGAAUCAGAAGAAGUGGGUCCUCUCUUAAAUAUAGCAAUUGCUUGAGUAGGACUACAAUGCUAGACCAUACAAAGAUCCUAAGAAGGGCAGACCUCUUGGAAAAUAAGUGGCCCAAAAGAGAGAAGGUUCUUCAAGCCAAAAUGCUAAGGCAGCAUGUGGGUUAGGUGCUAAAAGGAGGAGGUUUAGAAAAAAAAGGAAAUCUCAUCAGAAGGUAAGCAAUGCUACAUAGUACAUCCUUUUAAGUGUUUGGUUUUUUAAAAAAUAUUGACACUUGGUUUCUAAUUUCAGGUGGCACACUCUAAACAACAAUCAGGCACAUCAAAUGAACCUAAGGCUGCAAAAAAUCCAAGUGUGCCACCACAACAGUAGAAUAUUACCUCACGGAGACAUUUUGAGAUUACAAGUAAAGAUGUCCCAGGAUACGCAUGGAGGUGACAAUAUUGCACAAUAAAUAACCAGUAUAUAGAGCAACAACAGCCUUUAGGAGCAGCGGAGUUGUAACAGCCUAGGCUGCAGCAUUAGCAACACUAGGAGCAACUUCAGUAGUAGCAUUAGCACCAGCAACAGUAGCAGCAUCCUCAAAAAGUCAGACUCAAACCUCUCAAUGGCCUUCAUGGAGUAUUGAUGCUCUUUUGUGUCAUUUUGAUACCAUUUUGUUCCUUUUUUUUUCUCGUGACGUUUGAUCCCAUUUUGUACAGCUGGAUGUCAUAAUUUGUGGUACCAUUUAAUACACUUUGUGAUACUUUGGGUAUAUGGACGGUUGAAUGUAACAAUGGAUGUGACAAUUUAAUGUAAUGGUGAACAUGAAAUGUGAUAUUUUUGUUUCA